rnacentral:rRNA from 1 species
CGGGAGUACACGAGCGGCGAACGGGUGAGUAACACGUGAGCAACCUGCCCUUCUCAUCGGAAUAAGCGUUGGAAACGACGUCUAAUGCCGAAUACGACCUCAGAAGGCAUCUUCAGAGGUGGAAAGCUCCGGCGGAGAAGGAUGGGCUCGCGGCCUAUCAGCUUGUUGGUGGGGUAACGGCCCACCAAGGCGACGACGGGUAGCCGGCCUGAGAGGGUGACCGGCCACACUGGGACUGAGACACGGCCCAGACUCCUACGGGAGGCAGCAGUGGGGAAUAUUGGACAAUGGGCGAAAGCCUGAUCCAGCAACGCCGCGUGAGGGAUGACGGCCUUCGGGUUGUAAACCUCUUUCAGCACCGACGAAGCGAAAGUGACGGUAGGUGCAGAAGAAGGACCGGCCAACUACGUGCCAGCAGCCGCGGUAAUACGUAGGGUCCGAGCGUUGUCCGGAAUUAUUGGGCGUAAAGGGCUCGUAGGCGGUUUGUCGCGUCGGGAGUGAAAACUCAGGGCUCAACCCUGAGCGUGCUUCCGAUACGGGCAGACUAGAGGUAUGCAGGGGAGAACGGAAUUCCUGGUGUAGCGGUGGAAUGCGCAGAU